GGCAUGGGGAGGCGAGCAGUUUCAGGAGAUGCCUAUUCGAGUCAUCGGCAGCCGCGCCUGUUCAUUUUUGGGAAGAGGAAAUCAUAAUUUCGAUGGAGGGGAUCACAGAAAGGUGAGUCGUCAUGUUUGGUGUUUGAUCCAGUGGGAAGCGGAAAUCAUAAUCAUGAUGGAGGGGAUCACAGAAAUUGGCGCGGAAGUGGGGGUUUAUGAUUUGGCAUGGGGACUUGCCUGACAGAUGCAAACGCGGGGGGGGGGCUUGUCGGCUAUCCCCCACAUGGAGUUCGCCGAAUCUGCCUGCCCUCGCGGUGUAA